rnacentral:rRNA from 1 species
GACGAACGCUGGCGGCGUGCCUAAUACAUGCAAGUAGAACGCACAGUUUAUACCGUAGCUUGCUACACCAUAAACUGUGAGUUGCGAACGGGUGAGUAACGCGUGGGUAACCUGCCUGGUAGCGGGGGAUAACUAUUGGAAACGAUAGCUAAUACCGCAUCAUAUUGAUUAUUGCAUGAUAAUUGAUUGAAAGAUGCUAUUGCAUCACUACCAGAUGGACCUGCGUUGUAUUAGCUAGUAGGUGAGGUAACGGCUCACCUAGGCGACGAUACAUAGCCGACCUGAGAGGGUGAUCGGCCACACUGGGACUGAGACACGGCCCAGACUCCUACGGGAGGCAGCAGUAGGGAAUCUUCGGCAAUGGACGAAAGUCUGACCGAGCAACGCCGCGUGAGUGAAGAAGGUUUUCGGAUCGUAAAGCUCUGUUGUAAGAGAAGAACGGGUGUGAGAGUGGAAAGUUCACACUGUGACGGUAUCUUACCAGAAAGGGACGGCUAACUACGUG